rnacentral:rRNA from 1 species
GAGUUUGAUCCUGGCUCAAAAUGAACGCUGGCGGCAGGCCUAACACAUGCAAGGCGAACGGAAACGACAAGAACAAACUCUUCGGAGGGCGAUCUUGGGCGUCGAGUGGCGGACGGGUGAGUAACGCGUGGGAAUCUACCCUUUAGUUGGGGACAACAUAUGGAAACGUAUGCUAAUACCAAAUAUGCUCUACGGAGUAAAGGUGGCCUCUACUUGUAAGCUAUCGCUAAAGGAUGAGCCCGCGUUAGAUUAGCUAGUUGGUGGGGUAAAGGCCUACCAAGGCGACGAUCUAUAGCUGGUUUGAGAGGAUGAUCAGCCACACUGGGACUGAGACACGGCCCAGACUCCUACGGGAGGCAGCAGUGGGGAAUAUUGCACAAUGAGGGAAACCUUGAUGCAGCCAUGCCGCGUGUGUGAAGAAGGCCCGAGGGUUGUAAAGCACUUUCAAUUGUGAGGAAAGGUUAGUCGCUAAUAUCGGCUAGCUGUGACGUUAACUUUAGAAGAAGCCCCGGUUAACUCUGUGCCAGCAGCCGCGGUAAUACAGAGGGUGCAAGCGUUAUUCGGAAUUACUGGGCGUAAAGCGCGCGUAGGCGGACUGUUAAGUCGGUUGUGAAAGCCCUGGGCUCAACCUAGGAAUUGCAUCCGAUCCUGGCAAUCUAGAGUUUAGGAGAGGGAAGUGGAAUUCCUGGUGUACCAGUGAAAUGCGCAGAUAUCAGUAGGAUCCUCAGUGGCAAAGGCGGCAUCCUGGCCUAAACCCAGCGGUUACGUGGGAAAGUGUGGGUAACGGACGGAAUUAUAUUUCUUGGUAGUCAAA